GAUGAACGCUGGCGGCGUGCCUAAUACAUGCAAGUCGAGCGAACAGACGAGGAGCUUGCUCCUCUGACGUUAGCGGCGGACGGGUGAGUAACACGUGGAUAACCUACCUAUAAGACUGGGAUAACUUCGGGAAACCGGAGCUAAUACCGGAUAAUAUCUUGAACCGCAUGGUUCAAUAGUGAAAGACGGUUUUGCUGUCACUUAUAGAUGGAUCCGCGCCGCAUUAGCUAGUUGGUAAGGUAACGGCUUACCAAGGCAACGAUGCGUAGCCGACCUGAGAGGGUGAUCGGCCACACUAGAACUGAGACACGGUCCAUACUCCUACGGGAGGCAGCAGUAUGGAAUCUUCCGCAAUGGGCGAAAGCCUGACGGAGCAACGCCGCGUGAGUGAUGAAGGUCUUCGGAUCGUAAAACUCUGUUAUGAGGGAAGAACAAAUGUGUAAGUAACUAUGCACGUCUUGACGGUACCUAAUCAGAAAGCCACGGCUAACUACGUG
rnacentral:rRNA from 1 species